rnacentral:rRNA from 1 species
GAUGAACGCUGGCGGCGUGCCUAAUACAUGCAAGUCGAGCGAACAGAUGAGGAGCUUGCUCCUCUGACGUUAGCGGCGGACGGGUGAGUAACACGUGGAUAACCUCCCUAUAAGACUGGGAUAACUUCGGGAAACCGGAGCUAAUACCGGAUAAUAUAUUUAACCGCAUGGUUCAAUAGUGAAAGACGGUUUUGCUGUCACUUAUAGAUGGAUCCGCGCCGCAUUAGCUAGUUGGUAAGGUAACGGCUAAACAAGGCAACGAUGAGUAGCCGACCUGAGAGGGUGACCGGCCACAUUGGAACUGAGACACGGCCCAGACUCCUACGGGAGGCAGCAGUAGGGAAUCUUCCGCAAUGGGCGAAAGUCUGACGGAGCAACGCCGCGUGAGUGAUGAAGGUCUUCGGAUUGUAAAGCUCUGUUAUUAGGGAAGAAAAACUUUCUAAGUAAUAAUGAACGGCUUGAAGGUACCCAAAAAAAAAGCCACGGCCAAAUUCGUG